AGACGUCUUGACUUCUCCUUCCCCGCCGUUGUUGCCCUUCUGCCUCCUCCAACUUAAGGGGGUCUUAACAAGUGAGCUGGUGGGUGUUUUAAUAGGGCGGCGGAGGGAGUGGGGGGGUGAGGGAAGUGGAGAGGGAGGUGUGGACUGGGGAACCCUGAGGGGAGGGAACUGGGAGCGCGGGCGGGCGGGCGAGCGGGAGGCGGGGAGGGGGAGAGGGAGAGAGAGAAAUUGGCCAUUCAAAGCCUUCUCUGAGCUACAGGCCGGUUCUAAACUCCAAUGAAUUCAAUUAACUUGAUUGCUAACGUGUGCAGAGAAAUGCAAGACACAUAGGGGGCCACCACCUGAUUCCUUACUUUCCUCUGGCGGCGGAGGUGGGAGCCCUCGCCUCUUGGAUUUCCCUGAACUCCCGCGUUACAAGUUCCCUCCAAGCGAUAAACUCCCUGUGGCGCUGAAGUAAUUUGUUUUAAAGCCAAAUGGUGCCCUUCAGCUAAGUAACCGACCCAAGGAGGAACAGUUGGGAGGGGUGUGUGCACGUGUGUGUGUGUGUGUGUAAGUGUGUGCGUGUGUGUGUGUACCUGGAGCCUUCGACAGCCGGCUGGGACUCUAAAAAGAUCGCGC
rnacentral:lncRNA from 1 species